GGUCCCAUAGCUCAGUGGGAGAGUGCUUGCUUGACAUGCAAGAGGUCGGUGGUUCGAAACCACCUGGGACCA
rnacentral:tRNA from 1 species